rnacentral:rRNA from 1 species
GGCUUUGCGGCAGGACUACCAUGCAGUCGAGCGGAUGAAGGGAGCUUGCUCCUGGAUUCAGCGGCGGACGGGUGAGUAAUGCCUAGGAAUCUGCCUGGUAGUGGGGGAUAACGUCCGGAAACGGGCGCUAAUACCGCAUACGUCCUGAGGGAGAAAGUGGGGGAUCUUCGGACCUCACGCUAUCAGAUGAGCCUAGGUCGGAUUAGCUAGUUGGUGGGGUAAAGGCCUACCAAGGCGACGAUCCGUAACUGGUCUGAGAGGAUGAUCAGUCACACUGGAACUGAGACACGGUCCAGACUCCUACGGGAGGCAGCAGUGGGGAAUAUUGGACAAUGGGCGAAAGCCUGAUCCAGCCAUGCCGCGUGUGUGAAGAAGGUCUUCGGAUUGUAAAGCACUUUAAGUUGGGAGGAAGGGCAGUAAGUUAAUACCUUGCUGUUUUGACGUUACCAACAGAAUAAGCACCGGCUAACUUCGUGCCAGCACGGGCCGGUAAUACUA